GAUGAAGAACGUAGCGAAAUGCGAUACGUAAUGUGAAUUGCAGAAUUCAGUGAAUCAUCGAAUCUUUGAACGCACAUUGCGCCCGCCAGUAUUCUGGCGGGCAUGCCUGUUCGAGCGUCAUUUCAACCAUCAAGCCCCAGGCUUGUGUUGGAGCCCUGCGGCUGCCGCAGCCUCCCAAAACCAGUGGCGGGCUCGCUAUCACACCGAGUGCAGUAGUUUACUCUUCGCUCAGGGCGUGUGGCGGGUGCUAGCCGUGAAACCCCCAACUUCUCAAGGUUGACCUCGGAUCAGGUAGGAAUACCCGCUGAACUUAAGCAUAUCAAUAAGCGGAGGA
rnacentral:misc_RNA from 1 species